rnacentral:misc_RNA from 1 species
AACGGCAAUCGAGAGUAUGCCGUUUAGGUCAACCUCCCACCCGUGUUUAUUUUACCUUGUUGCUUCGGCGGGCCCGCCUUUACUGGCCGCCGGGGGGCUCACGCCCCCGGGCCCGCGCCCGCCGAACACACCCCCGAACUCUGUCUGAAGAUUGAAGUCUGAGUGAAAAUAUAAAUUAUUUAUAACUUUCAACUACGGAUCUCUUGGUUCCGGCAUCGCUGAAGAACGCAGCUAAUUGCAAUACCCAGUGUGAAUUGCAAAUUCUCUGAAUCAUCUUAGUCUUUGAUCGUUUCUUGCGCCCCCUGGCAUUCCGGGUGGUAUGCCUGUCUGUGCGUCAUUGCUGCCUACAAGCACAGAUUGUGUGUUGGGCCCCGUCCUCCGAUUCCGGGGGUACGGGCCAGAAUGGGUGCGGCUUCACCGCGUCCGGUCCUCGAGCGUAUGGGGCUUUUUCACCCGCGCUGUAGGCCCGGCCGGCAAUUGCCGAUCUAACAAAAUUUUUGGCCUGGUUGAGUUCUGAUCAGGUUCGGAUACCUGCUGAACUUUUACAUUUCUUCCCCGGAGGAAAUUUCCUAGUGAGGGGCCUUUGGGUCCUCCUCCCCCGUGUUUAUUUUACCUUGUUGCUUCGGCGGGCCGCCUUUACUGGCCGCCGGGGGGGCUCCGCCCCCGGCCGCGCCGCCAAAAACCCCCUAUCUGAGAAAAGUAGCCGGAGUGAAAAAUAAUAAAUUAUUUUAAAACUUUUCUCCACGGGGAACCUUGGGGUUCGCCCCAAUUAAGAACCCCCAAAUUGGCAUCUCUAGGGGUAAAUUUGGAUUUUUGAAAAAAUAAUCUUUUUUUAUUAACCCCCCGCCCUGUCUUGGGGGGGGGGGCUAGCAGCUUAACCCCCUCCGGUCGCAUCUGGGUUGUGGGUCCUCCACCCCCUGACUAUCACAAAAAUUAAUAGACCAAUAAGUUAUCUCUUCUACCCGAGUUGGUGUUUGUUAUUUGGUGGCUUUUUUCCCCC